CGGGGCGUAGCGCAGCCCGGUUAGCGCGCAGCGUUCGGGACGCUGAGGUCGUGGGUUCAAAUCCCACCGCCCCGACCA
rnacentral:tRNA from 2 species